GGUUGCAUAGUGCAGUGGAACUGAAGCAUACCGGCAUUCUUUGGCCGGAGACCCGGGUUCGAUUCCCGGUGCAACCU
rnacentral:tRNA from 1 species